GCCCGCGACGUCGCGAGAAGUCCACUGAACCUUAUCAUUUAGAGGAAGGAGAAGUCGUAACAAGGUUUCCGUAGGUGAACCUGCGGAAGGAUCAUUGCCGAGACCCCGCACGAGGAAAGACCCGCGAACACGUGAACGAAUCGCGACCGCGACGGGAAAGGCCCGGCCGAACCCGUCGCGGCGCCAUCGCCCCGCCUCCCCCCGUCGCGGGGGCGGCGGGCGGAACAGAACCCCGGCGCCCCGGAGGGUGCCAAGGAACAGGAACGCGGAAGCGGGGCGAGCCGCCGCCGCCCGCCCCUCCCAUUACGGGUUCGGGAGGGAGGAGGGCGUCGCCGCCGCCGAUGCCACCCUUACACGGUACGACUCUCGGCAACGGAUAUCUCGGCUCUCGCAUCGAUGAAGAACGUAGCGAAAUGCGAUACCUGGUGUGAAUUGCAGAAUCCCGCGAACCAUCGAGUCUUUGAACGCAAGUUGCGCCCGAGGCCACCAGGUCGAGGGCACGCCUGCCUGGGCGUCACGCCAAACAGCGACGCUCCGCUCCCCCCGGGGCCACGACGGGCUCCGGGGCGGCCGGACGCGGAAACUGGUCCCCCGCGCCCCCCCCGGCGCUGCGGGCCGAAGACCGGGCCGCCGGCUUGGCCGGACACGGCGGAUGGUGGACGCGCCCGCGAUCCUGUCGCCGUGCCGCGGACCCCGAAAGGUGCCCCACUCGCCCCAACUGCGCGMCCCCCCCNUGCGAUCGGGGCGGUGACGUCGGAUCGCGACCCCAGGUCAGGCGGGGCCACCCGCCGAGCUUAAGCAUAUCAAUAAGCGGAGGAGAAGAAACUUACGAGGAUUCCCCUAGUAACGGCGAGCGAACCGGGACCAGCCCAGCUUGAGAAUCGCGGGGCCGCGCCCCCCGAAUUGUAGUCUGGAGAAGCGUCCUCAGCGACGGACCGGGCCCGAGUCCCCUGGAAAGGGGCGCCCGGGAGGGUGAGAGCCCCGUCCGGCCCGGACCCUGCCGCACCACGAGGCGCUGUCGACGAGUCAGGUUGUUUGGGAAUG
rnacentral:misc_RNA from 1 species